rnacentral:lncRNA from 1 species
ACUUGUGUAACCUUUUUAUUCUCUAACAUUUUCUAUUUCCUUUCUGUUGCAAGAAGUAGCAAAGUUCUGAAGAAGGAAUACAAUCUUAUUUUCUUACUUAUGGUGUUAUUUUCUUAGUUUUGAUACCACAAAUUCACCAUGCCUGUGUGUGUGUGUGUGUGUGUGUGUGUAUGACAUCAUACACCUGCACUUAGGGACAUGUGAAGUAACCUGGGUUUUUAGGGCUAUUCAUGAGCUUUGCAUUCUCUGGCCCUGAAUGCUUCACAAGUUAAAUUUUAAGCUUUCAAUUAAGAGGCCUUCAGUCCAUCUUUUAGAAUCAUCAUUUUCCAACACAGACUCCAUCUCUUCUGAUAUCUAUCAGAACGUACAUUUGUAAUUUUAUGCAGAAAAAACCAUGUGGAUUACCAAGAAAAUUGUUAUAUUUUAUUUACCACCAAGGAGUUUUUAAAUUCCUAGGGAAAGUAGGCAGAGUGAGUUGUUUAUUUUUCUGGUGUGCCAUCAAGGAAAUCUGUCAAUUUAAUAUACCAGUUUAUCUUUUUGAGCCCAAAUAAUACUCACUUUGUACUUCAAAAAUUUAUUAAUC